CCUACGGGUGGCAGCAGUGGGGAAUAUUGCGCAAUGGGAGAACGCCUGACGCAGCGACGCCGCGUGAGGGAUGAAGGUCUUCGGAUCGUAAACCUCUGUCAGCAGGGAAGAACGGUCACUGUGCUAAUCAGCAGUGAAUUGACGGUACCUGCAAAGGAAGCACCGGCUAACGCCGGGCAAGCAGGCGCGGUAAUACGGAGGGUGCGAGCGUGAAGGGGAAUUACUGGGCGUAAAGCGCGCGUAGGCGGUAUGUCAAGUCAAGGGUGAGAUCCCCGCGCUCAACGUGGGAACUGCCUUUGAAACUGGCAAACUGGAGUGUGUGAGCGGAUAGUGGAAUUCCAGGUGUAGGAGUGAAAUCCGUAGAUAUCUGGAGGAACAUCGGUGGCGAAGGCGACUAUCUGGCACAUAACUGACGCUGUGUAGCGAAAGCGUGGGUAGCAAACAGGAUUAGAUACCCUUGUAGUC
rnacentral:rRNA from 1 species